rnacentral:misc_RNA from 1 species
UUUCCGUAGGUGAACCUGCGGAAGGAUCAUUACCGAGUGCGGGCCCUCUGGGUCCAACCUCCCAUCCGUGUCUAUUCAUACCCUGUUGCUUCGGCGGGCCCGCUGGCUGCCCCCUCCUGGGGGGCGCCGGCCGCCGGGGGGCUACCCUGCCCCCGGGCCCGUGCCCGCCGGGGACACCAACACUGAACACUGUCUGAAGGUUGCAGUCUGAGUUUUCAUAAAGAAAAAUUGUUAAAACUUUCAACAACGGAUCUCUUGGUUCCG